AGAGGUGGAGGUUGCAAGUGAGCUGAGAUCAUGCCAUUGCACUCCAGUCUUGGUACCAAAGACCUUCAGAAAUUUCAGAGCAUAGUAUGAUGGUAAGAACCAUCAAAAACACCUUUCUGCAGGAGAGAAGCCAUCAUUUAAAUGAGAGUGAUGCUCUUUAACACCAGGAAGGGUCUCUGUUAAGCAGUGAGAGGUGGAAGGAGCUGUUGCCAGAGCUCACCAGGAGCAUCUUGGUAACCAACUGCUGGCCCAGACCUUUCCUACUUACAUGGAACAGUGGAAAGUGCCAACAGGGUUCUCCACGACAAAUGUCUUCAUAUUCCUCAUAGAUUCCCUGCUUUUGCCUGCUAUUUGACAUAGACCAUCAACCAAAGUUUUGGCUUUCUGUUCUUCUUCCCAUUCUUACCCAGCAGGGGGAGUCUAUAGCUCAUUCAGGUUUGACCUCAGCAGCUAGAGGAAAAGGGGUUAAACAAAAUAAUAAAUUAGGGCCGGGCUCCCAAAUCACUUUUAAAGAUUCCAGCACUUUAAAAGUGCACUCUAGGAGUGCACUCUGGGAAGCUGAGGUAAAUAGAAUCGCUUGAACCCUGGAGGCGGAGGCUGCAGUGAGUUGAGAUCACACCACUGCACUUUAGCGUGAGUGACAGAGUAAGACUCGUUCUCAAAAAAAAAAAAAAAAUUAGAAGGAUCACUUGAGCCUGGGACGUGGAGGUUGCAGUGAGCUGUGAUGUGCCACUGCAUUCCAGCCUGUGCAACAGAGUGAGACACUGUCUCAAAAAUAAAAAACCCCUAAGCACUGUGGAUUAGAAAUGAAUAAUUUUUCGGCUGGGCGAAGUGGUGCAUGCCUGUAAUCCCAUCACUUUUAGAGGCUGAGGCGGGUGGAUUACCUGAGGUCAGGAGUUUGAGACCAGCCUGACAAACAUGAGAAAACCUUGUCUCUACUAAAAAUAAAAAUUAGCUGGGUGUGGUGGUGUAUGCCUAUAAUCCUAGCUACUCGGGAGACUGAGGCAGGAGAAUUGCUUGAACCUGGGAGGCCGAGGUUGAAGUGAGCCGAGAUCAUGCCAUUGCACUUCAGCCUGGGCAAUAAGAGCAAAACUCUGUCUCAAAAAUAAAAUAAAAAAUAAAUGAUUUAAAAUCUUUUGUUUCUGUUUUGAGACGGAGUCUUGCUCUGUCGCCCGGGCUAGAGUGCAGUGGCACAAUCUCGGCUCACUUGGGCAAGGUGUUUAAUGAAUCUCUGAAAGGUGGAGAAUUUAGCACCAGGCAUGGUGACUGAUGCCUGUGAUUCUAGGUAUUUGAGAGGAUGAGGUGGGAGUGUUUAAGGUAGAGGGUGUCCACAUUCUUGGUGUGUUGAACAAAAGAAUUGGACAAAAUUUACAAAGGCAAGGAGGGAAGAAGGGAUUUAUGGAACAUGAAAGUACCCUCCACAGUGUGAGAGGGGCCUGAGCUGAGGAGUUCAAGGGCCCUGUUACAGAACUUUUGGGAGUUUAAAUACCCCUAGAGGAUUCCAUUAGUUAUUUGGGGAUGCCUUAUAUAAAUGGAGAGGAUGAAGUAAAGUUACAAGUCAUUUACAGCCUAUGCUCUAUGGAGAGAAUAUUUUCUGUUAUAACUGCAGUGUGUGUCAGCCUUAUGUUCCCUGGUUCCAGACCCGUUUUCAGGAUUGUUUGAGCCUAGGAGUUCAAGACCAGUCUGGACAUCAUAGUGAGACCACUAUCUCUGAAUUUUUUUUUUUUUUUUGAGAUAGAGUUUCGCUCUUGUUUACCAGACUGAAGUACAAUGGCACCAUCUUGGCUCACUGCAACCUCUACCUCCCAGGUUCAAGCGAUUCUCCUGCCUUAGCCUCCCAAGUAGCUGGAAUUACAGGGGCCCACCACCAUGCCUGGCUAAUUUGUUGUAUUUUAGUAGAGAGGGUUUUACCAUGUUGGCCAGGCUGGUCUUAAACUCUUGACCUCAGGUGACCUGCCUACCUCAGCCUCCUAAAGUCCUGGGAUUAGAAGCAUGAGCGAUUUCGCCCAGAAAAAAAAAUUUAAAUAAAUAAAAGGCAGAGUAUCUGAAAAAACUGGGAGACUAACAGUCUCAUGGGAUUGUUAUAAAGCUUAAAAGAGAGAGUGUUACUGUAAAUACUUAGAAGAGCUGUUACUUUAUUGCUGUCCUUUCCCCUUGUAUUUGGAUAGAUUACUGUACUUGUUUCUUCUAUGUCACUAUAAUUGUCAGUGGGGUUCUUGUUCCCUUAGAGGCCUGAAGAAACUUGUAUUAAAUGCUUUCCCAAUUCGUGAAUUAGGAGAGGCAGAUGUUAUGUCUAAAUUGCAAGGGCGAGACUUAAAAGUAUGAAUUGGGUCCGGGCACAGUGGCUCACACCUGUAAUCUCAGCACUUUGGGAGGCUAAGGUGGGCAGAUCACAAGGUCAGGAGUCCAAGACCAGCCUGAACAAUAUGGUGAAACCCUGUCUCUACUAAAAAUACAAAAAUAAGCCGGGUGUGGUGGCGGGCAGCUGUAGCCCCAGCUACUCGGGAGGCUGAGGCAGGAGAAUUGCUUGAACCUGGGAGGUGGAGGUUGCGGUGAGCUGAGAUCGCACCAGUGCACUCCAGCCUUGGUGAUAGAGCGAGACUCCGUCUCAAAAAAACAAAACAAAACAACAAAAAAAAGAACUAACUGGGAGUAAAGUCAUGCUCAGGUGCAGGGUUCCUGGUUUUGUUCAUCACACAGCUCCCCAGCACUUGAAUAAAUAAGGCUUAAAUAACCACCGGCUUAGCUCAUGCAGUAGUCAAAUCCAGAACUCAUAUUUUAUUCCAAAGCCCACAUGUUUUCCUAGUUUAGAAACCUAAACAUUUAAUUCACUGUACCGGGGGCCAAACAGGUAAUGGAAAACGCCUGAAGUGUGUUGGGAAGACUGUGGUAAAAAGGCGAAGGAAUGUUUAUUUACAGUCCCAGCGGCUAUUCACAUCUAUUUCACGGCCAUGCAAAAACGCAGGCCCAUUGUCGUCUCUUUAUCCCAAGGCUGAUUUCUUAUUUAUUUAUUUAUUUAUUUAUUUUUUUGAGACGCGGUCUUGCUCUGUCACCAGGGUUGGAGUGCAGUAGCGUGAUGUUGGCUCACUGCAACCUCCGACUCUUGGGUUCAAGCGAUUCCCCUGCCUCAGCCUCCCAAGUAGCUGGGACUACAGCUGUCCGCCACCACUCUCAGCUAAUAUUUUGUAUUUUAGUAGAGAUGGGGUUUCACCAUGUUGGCCAGGAUAGUCUCGAUCUCCUGACCUCGUGAUCUGCCCGCCUCAGUCUCCCAAAAUGCUGAGAUUACAGGUGUGAGCCACCACGUCCGGCCCUUGUGAAAGUCUUUUAAGUAUUUCCAAUCAAAAGACUUUAGCUCAGAUGCAGCCCACCGGGACCGUGUUUGCAAACUCUGGCAGUGGGAAGCUGAUAAGGAGAGUACCUCAGUGCGACAGAGAUAGCCAAGAAUGGGAAGGUUUGCACCUAAGGCGAGAAUGAGAUUCUCUGCCUGAGGGUUUCUGAAGGACUGGAUUAAAUUCAGGUUAGAGUCAGGGCAUGGCAAGGUGGUGAGGACUAUGCUGCCAUCCCAGGUGGGCUGACCUAUCUGGCCAGCGCAGCCGGAGGUACAGCCAAAGUACAGACCACAGCGAGGGGUGGUAGGGGCUUCUCGACAUAAAAGCAGCCAGUGGCUGCUCAUUCCCUUCCCGACUCUAACAGAAGUGAGCCUCCGUGGAGCAAACCCUAACUGUCUCCCGACUCCCUAAGUCACUCCGCCAAUUCCUUCCCAGGUUCUUCACCGGCCUCCAUAGUCCUACAACUUCCGCUCGCCUCUUAGUUUGGGAAACCACCGACUUCCAGCCGUGGAGCGGUGGGCAGAGCCAAGAUGGCUGAGCAGAGAGACUUGCUAUGAAACGGGGGUCUGGCUAUGCUGCUCACGCUGGUUUUGAACUCCUGGCUACAAGUGAUACUCCAUCUUCAGCCUCCUGAAGUGCUGGAAUUACAGGUUUUCAGAAAAAUGAGUAUGUCUGCUAUAUGCCAAGCACUGCUCUAUUCCCUGGAGAUGCCAAGAUGGACUGGUGGAUUUUAAGAUAAUCAACUAGAAUAGGAAAUAUGGGAAGGAAGAGGAGCAGGUUUUGGAAGAAGGUGAUGGUUCUCACCAGAAAAUACAGAACUUCUUACAACUUUAGGAUUACUCUACUUAUAGAGACGGGGUUUCACCGUGUUGUCCAGGCUGGACUUGAACUCCUGACCUCAAGUGAUGUGCCCGCCUCGGCCUCCCAAAGUGCUGUGAUUACAGCUCAGCAUUUACUGGAAGGCAUUCGAACAUCUUGGCAAUGCACUGACUUACGAUCCUACCAGCUAUAAGGUAUUGCAGGCUGUGAAGGCUCUUGCCUUCUUAAGAGAUGACCCCACUGCUCCUAGAGAUGAUCUGACCCUGGAAAGCAAAGGAAUAGCUUCUUCAGUUUGAAUACCUGAAAAAUAGAAAAAAUGCAAAUAAAAGGUCAUCAGUUGCCUGAAAUGAGCCAACUUCUUGGCACCCUUCGAUUGGAAGAUUCUGUAUAAUGUGGGCCUUGUCCAUUUGACCAUGCAGCAGUAUGCGUCAGCUUUUCAUUUUCUCAGUGCAGCCACCAACUUCAAGCCAAAGAUGGGGGAGCUCUGCAUGCUCUUGGCAGCAUGUAGGUACUUUGAUGGAAACCCGGAGAAGCUCUUGGCUGAGUGUCAUGUAAUUAAUCCAAGUAAAAAGUCUCAGAUACACCAGAUGGAUACAAGGUCAUCAGCACAGGAUAUGCCUUGUCAGAUCUGCUACUUGAACUGUCCUGCUUGAAUUCAGUCUCCAGAACUUGCAACAUUAUAUUUAAUUCUGAUCAAAGUACUGGAUAUGCAGAGUUAAGCAAAAGAUGCUAUCUGGAGCAAGAAAUCCUCAGUAAAACAAGAAAAGAAGAAAAGAAAAACAAAAUGGUAAUAAAAGGCUUAUAUCAAAAAGCAUUUUCUCUGCCUUUUCCUUUCUUGCCUUUGAGUCCUAAUUCUCAGAGGCCAUCACUUUAAACUCAUUUUGCUAUUUCCUCUGGUAUUUAUCAUCAUAUUUCUGAAGAAUGUCUUUGUUGCUAUUUCUUGAUUUGUUUUCUAUUUCCGGCGAAGCACAGUAUAGGGCUUACCUCCCUUAUGAGGUCAUAUUUUCCUUGGCUCCAUUUCACCAAUUUGACUGGAUCAUAAUCUUAUGAAAUCAAAAGCAUUUACAUUCCUGUAGCUAUCUAAAUAUUGUUCCCUAACCAAAAGUCCUGCACUGAAAUUGUUUCAUUUCUUUCCUUUUCUCCCCUGGAGUUAAUAAUUGUUCAGAUUUUCCCUCUUCAUUUGCAUAUUUAUUUAUUUAUUUUUACCAAUUACCAAUUUUUUUUUCAGAUGCUCCAACCAAUCUAUCAAAUGCCUAGUGGUAAUUAUCCAAAAACGAAGAUACACUGGAUCAGCCCCAUUAUUUUCCUAGAGGCUUCCCUCUCUCCCUUGCCCUCCAUCCUUCUGCUCUAAACUGGACUCAGCUCUCAGCCUGUGGCAUGGCUGGCAUCCUGGCAUGUCUGCACCAUCAUGUGAAUUUCCUGCUGCUUAUUCUGUGUGCAUCUCCUUUUUCCUGGUCCCAGAUUGUCUUUUCCCUGGUCUACUCUCUCAUGUAUUGCAUCACAUAUUCCAGUGGCUUCCUGAGAGAGAGUGAAUGGAAGCCAAGCUUUCUGACCCUCACAUAUUCUGAAUUAUUCUACCCCAACUCCUGAAUAAUAGUUUGGCUGGAAAUAAUGCUCUAAUUUAAACGUAACUUCUCCUCACUUGGGAAAUAUUGCUCUAUUGUUUUCUAGUUCCCGGUGUUGUCAGGAAGAAGUCAGUGUCAUUCUGAGUCUUGGCUCUUUAUAUAUGACCUGUCUUUUCUCUCUGGAAGGUUGCAGAAUUUUCUCUUUAUUCUUAGUCCUUUUCUGGAAUUUCCCAGUGAUGUGCCUUGUUGUAGUUCUUUCUUCAUUCACUGUGCUAGUCACUUGGUAGACUCUUUUGAACUAGAAAAUUAUGUCCUUCUGUUGGGGAAGCCACCAGGAGGUUCAUGUGAGCUGAGUAAUCACAUUCUUUUCUUCCAAGGACAGAGUUAUCAAGGCUCUAGGAACCUUAUAAGUAGAUGAGGUAGAGGUGAAUUCAACAAAGCUGCAGCACCCACUGAGCUCAUGUCCCAGGGCUAGGCUCUGCCUGAGGACAGUAGACAUGGGUCACACCCACUUCCUGCCCAGUCCUAUGGUGGGGCUCAGGACGCAUGGUCCAGGAGGACCUCAGCCCCAGGCUACAUUUACAUGCACCUACCUGCGUGUAGCAUUCAGUGAGCCACAGGACAACUUAGGGGAAGGGGCAACUCCAGAGAGCAGGAUAGGAAGGAGGUAAAUAAUCAUGGGGUGGGGAGUGGCCUUGUGGAGAAAGGGCAAAGUCAGGGUCGUGUGUGUGUGUGUGUGUGUGUGUGUGUGUGUUUGUGUGUGUGUGUGUGUUAUGUAUUGGGGGAAAUGGGGAGAGCAUCUGUAGUUUUGUUUUUCCCCUUUUCUGGCCACUGCUCCCCUUUUUUUGUGAAUAGUUUUUCUUCCCAGCAUGGACUUAAUGUCUCUGUCUUCUCCAAAUUCACAUGUUGAAGUCCUAACCCUCUGUGUGGCUGUAGUUGAAGAUGAGGCCUCUCAGGAAGUCACUAAGGUUAAAUGAGGUCCUAAGGGUGGGCCCUGAUUCAGUACUAUUGGUGUCCUUAUAAGAUGAGACACCAGAGAGUGCACUCUCUCCAUACAAAUGCAAAGAAGAGGUCACGUGAGCACACAAUAUGGCAGACACCUACAGACCAAGAGAAGAGGCCUCAGAAUGAAACCUACCUUGCGGGUACUUUGAUGUUGGAUUUCCCAGCCUCCAGAACUCUGAGAAAUAAAUGUGUGUGGUUUGAGCUGCCCAGUCUGUAGUAUUUUGGCAUGGCACCCUGAACUAAUACAUUUCCCCUCCCUACUUCAACCACAUGACAUUAGAGGGCUUGGCAGUUUUAGUGUCCCAGCUACCGAGCCAACCCAGACCAGACUAAACCAAGCAGAAACUUUCUUCUGGAAUUUUCUGAAUAGGAACUAAUGGAGGGGAGCUCCAUCUUUCUUCAGGGCAAAGCCAGGAGAUGGAAGCCUUGUGCUAUUGACAGCCUGAUUCCAACUUUCUGGGGAAAGUUGCUCUGAGAGCACAAAACUGAUCUGCAGACUGAGGAGGAGACAGACAAAGGAAGGGGCCUGCAAAUCCUAACAGCACUGGUGAUUCUGAGUCCAGGGUCUCACUACAUUGCCCAGGCUGGAGUGCAGUGGUGCAAUCACAGCUCACUGCAACCUCAAGUUCCAGGAGACAGAUCAAGAGUGGUGUACACAUCAUGGCUGCCCAGGCUGGGCUCCUCCCACCAUCCUCGGUCCUGCCCUCUGGAACCCUGGGGCAUUUUUCUUCUUACCAAAGAACUGCUUUUAACACUUUUCAUAGUGCAGGCCUGCUGGUGAAUAUCCUGGCUUUUGUUUGUGUGAAAAAGAGCAAUGGGAUCCUGAUAUCUGAUAUGGGGAAACUUAAGUGGCUACAUCUAAGAACUUUGAGCCUCCAGUUUCCACUGAAUGCUUUGGGCUAAAAGAAGUAGCCCCCUUUCCUUGCUAAGAGAAGGACUGCUGCCCCUUGUCUGGAGACUAGGCAAAAAGCCUCCAGCAAGGCCCUCCAGCAGGAUGAAGUGUGUCGUCAUUGCUGUCCCACAUUGACACCAGGCUGUGGUUGUUCCUCAUCAUGGCCCAAGGUUACAAGCACAAUCUGCUCUGGGAAAAUGAUUUUUUUUCUGCCAAAAAUGUUGCAGGAGCUGCCUAGUGUGUAUUGACAGAAUCUGGGAGAGGAGGUGGAGGAGUGGACAUAAGGCUGUCGGACUAGGGGGAAACUAAAGGCUGUGUACAUGAGAAUACACUGACCUGGGAGCACUCUCAGGAUUUAAUGGCUUGGCAAGGAUGCCUGGGGAUCUCACACAAUGCUGGAGUGGCUCCUUGAAAUGUGGAUGUAACAGUUGCUGCAGUGAGUUAGGUGAGCUUAUAGAAAUGCGGUGAAAUUAUAGAAAUGCAUUCGCAAAGCAUCAAAGAAGCCAGAAAGUACAGGGAGGUAGGAAUGUUGGAAUGCUUGAUUAUGUGCCAGCAGAUUCAGAAUCCACCACUUGACUAUGUGCCCUUGGAGGGCUCACAGGAGCUCCCUUCUCUAGGUUCACAAGGAAGGCACUAGUGUGAAGGGCACCCAAAUCUUUGAGAGACUCUGGCACUAUACUUUGUAGGCCAGGAUGGAGAAGAGGAGAUGCCACGGUGAGACCAGGCUUCGUGUUGUCAGUGGGAAUGGUGGAAGGCCAGAGCAGCAGAUGCCAGGUGGUGGCACAUCACCAUCAUCAACAAGGUGGAUGUUAUUGACUUAAUUGGUAGCAAGGCUAGAGGGAUUACCAGGAUGCCUUGAUCUCCAGGGAUCUGUUAUGUUGGCUAAAAACUGACAGCAUUCCUGGGGCGAGUUAUAUAGACAGUUGACUAGGGCAUUUUUUUUUUUUUGAGACAGGAUUUUACUCUGUUGUCCAGUGCGGAGUGCAGUGACACAAUCAUAGCUCUCUGCAGCUGCAAGCUCCGGGGCUCAAGCGAUCCUCCCAUCGCAGUCUCCCAAGUAGCUGGGAUUAUAGGCAAACACCACCGUGCCUGGUUUUUAACAUUUUUAGUAAAGAUGAGUUCUUGCAAUGUUACCCAGAAUGGUCUCAAAUUCCAGAGCUCAAGCCGUCCUCCUGCUUCGCCUCCCAAAUUGUCAGUAUUACAGGUGUGAGGCCUAGGAUAUUCCUUGAUUUGUAUAUUCAGGAAACAAGAAGAAGAAGAUCUGGCACACAGAAGCCUGCAGCAAAGAACUGCCAUUUCCCACCCAGUUUUCAGACUGAGACAACUGAGACCUAUAGCUCAUCAGUUGUAGGGAAUGCUAGGUAUUCUCGAAAAAAAAUCCUGCAACAUUACCACACGACAUUUAGUAAUUGUUACCUCAGUCCUUCUCCAAAGGGAUCUGGGGUCAUUGAUGAAAGUAACUGUAGCUGAUGAAAUGGAAAAUACCCAGACUGUUUGAGGGCCAUUAAUUCAAGAUUAGAGCUGACCCUAAUACCCUCAGACACACAGUGCCAUCAUGGCCCCUCCCCAACAAGACUGAGGAUAAGUGAAGAUAAUAAAUGGAACCCUGGAUGAAGAGGCCACAGCCCCAUCCAGUUGUCAUUUCUCUGUCUGUAAAUAUGCAAUUGAUAGAAGUAUGCUCAGAAGUGAACAGAGAUCUGACUUUUCUCCCUGACCUGUGGGUAGGAGCCACAAUAGUAGGAAUAGCCAGGGGGACAUCUCUGAAACCACCUCUUUCCCACUUCCAGGAGCAAUGCAGUAUUCCAGGUGGAAUCACAGAUUUAUUACCUCCCUCAACUGUGACUGUCACCUUAUAAUGACAGUAUUCUUACCCCUCUUGUUCCUUGUGCUAUACUUGUCACCAUUUUACUUCUACACAUUAUAAACCCCACAAUGUUACUACUUUUGCCUCAAACUCAAUUAUUUCUAGACUUCCAAAAAAAUGAGAAAAUAGGAUCUUUAAUAUUCAUUCGUGUAUUUAUUACUUCAGUGGUCAUUCCUUUGUAUAGAUCCAAAUUUCUGUCUAGUGUCAUUUUUCUUCUCACCACAGAACUUUUAACACUUCUCAUAGUGCCUGCCUGCUGGUAACUAUCCUGGCUUUUGUUUGUGUGAAAACUUGUUUAUUUUGCCUUGAUUAAAUUUUUCAAAAAUUUUCUAUUCUAUUCUAUUCUUUUUUUUUUUUUUUUUUUUUUGUAGAGAUGCGACCUCACUGUAUUACCCAGCCUGAUCUCACACUCCUGGCCUCAAACAAUUCUUCUGUCUCGGCCUCAAGAAGUGCUGGGAUGAUUACAAGCAUGAGCCACCACACCUGGCCUCACUGAGUUUUUUUUUAAACUGCUUUUAAUCCCAUAUCUGCAGAGUUAACUUUUUUAUUGCUAGUAACUUUUUGUUUUAUUUUGAGACAGGUCUCACUAUGUUGCCCAGGCUGGAGUGCAGUGGUGCAAUCACAGCUCACUGCAACCUCGACCUCCUGUGUUCAGGUGAUCCUCCUGCCUCAGCCUUCUGAGUAGCUGGGACUACAGGUGUGUGCCACCAUGCCUGGCUAAGUUUUGAGUUAUUUAUAGAGCUACGUCUCCCUGUGUUGCCCAGGCUGGUCUUGAACUCCUGGGCUUAAGCAAUCCUUGUGGCUCAGCCUCCCAAAGUGCUGGGAUUACAGGUGUGAGCCACCACACCCAGGCUGUGUGUGUGUGUGUGUGUGUGUGUGUGUGUGUUUCAAAAUAUCUUCCAUUUCUGUCUUCUCAUCUUGUUCAGAUUUUUCUAGCCUUCUUAAACAUAUGGAGCAUAUUACAUUUAUAACAUGUUUUUAAAUUUCCUUGUCUGCUAAUUACACCAUCUCUGUCAUUUCUAGGCCUAUUUCCAUUGAUUUAUUUCUCUCCUGGUUAUAGGCCCUAUUUUUGCCUUUUUGUUUGUUUGUUUGGUUUUGUUUUGGAGACAGGGUCUUACUGUCACUUUGGCUGGAGUGCAGUGGUGUGAUUUGGCUCACUGCAAUCUCCAUCUCCCAGGUUCAAGUGAUUCUCAUGUCUCAGCCUCCCAAAUAGCUCAGACUACAGGUGCGUACCACCACGCCCAGCUAAUUUUUAUAUUAUUAGUAGAGAUAGGAUUUCACCAUGUUGGCCAGGCUAGUCUCAAACCCCUGUCCCCAGGCAAUCUGCCUGCCUCGGCUUCCCAAAUUGCUGGAAUUACAGGUGUGAGCCACUACACCUGUUCAUUGUGUGGUAAUUUUUUAUUAACUGAUAGACAUUGUGUUUUGUGUUGUGAUUGCUGGAUUUUUUUCCCUUUAAAUGGUGUGGGACUCUGUUCCAGCACUAGUUAAGUUACUUGAAAUGAGUUGGAUUUAUCUACUCAAGGUUUGCUUUUAAUCUUUGUUAAGGCAGUUUCAGAGAAGGCUUUAUUUAGCCCCACUGUUCAGGCAAUACUUUUCUAAAGAUUCUCUUCCAAUUCCUAAGUAUUAUGAGGUGUUUUUAUUCUGACUUACGAGAAUAUGAAUUCUCUCUAGCCCAUUGUGAGCUCUGGAGAUUCUUUGCUCUGUUUUCUGGUGAUUCUUUCCCUGGCUACUUUCUUCUCACAUGUCUAUAUCUGCCCUGAGCCAAAGGCUUCAGGGCACCUUCCACAGCUCUCCAGAGUGCACGUGUUCUCUCUUCUCCCACCUCCUCUCUGGUACUCUAUCUCACAAAUUCUACCGGCCUUGAAGAGCUUCUCAAGCUCUGAUCUUUGUCUCCUCAAUCCACCAAGAUCACUGGACUUUGGAUUCCCCCUCCCUGUGAUGGAGCCUAUAAAUUGUGUCCAGCAGUAAACCGAGGACAUUGCAGGGUUCACCUUCUUUCAGGGAUCAUAGUUCUGCUCAACCUAUUCUCCAGUGUCUGAAAAUUAUUGUUUUAUAGAUUUUGUUCCAUUUUUCUAGUUGUUCAAGGUGGAAGGUAAAUCUGGUCUCUGUUAUCCAUCAUGGCCACAUGUAGAGGUUGCAGGAUGUUGUUUACAUUUGUAUCUUUUUUUUUUAAUCUCGCUCUGUCACCCAAAGUGGAACAUCUCAGCUCACUGCCACCUCCACUUCAUGCCCUCAAGCCAUCCUCCCACCUCAGCCUCCCAAAGUGCUGGGAUUACAGGUGUGAGCCACUGCACCCAGCCUAAAUUGUAUCUUAUUAUCAUCGAAGCUAAACAUUUUUUCCUGUGUGUCAGUGGCAUUUUUCAUUUUUCCGUGAUCUUUCAUAUACUUUUUUCAUUUUUCUUAGAAUUGUUGGUCUUUAUCGUCUCUACUUUUAGAAUAGAAUAAAUACAAUAUUAAUAGUACUUCUAAUUGUAGGCAUGAUGGAGUAACUGUAUCGAUGAUAGACUCCCAGCAUAAACAACUACAAAGCUACACAAAGUACAUGAAGAAAUUGUCUUCAGGCCCUGGGUCAUAGGCAGUUUAAGGUACAAUCUGAGAGAAGGGAAUCACAUGAAGUCACUGCUACAUUUUUCUGGUGGAGAAAGUUUCCAAACCCUCAAUCACAGCAUGAGGAAGCAAGAGUCCAGGCCGAGAGUAUCAGUCUUGUUUGGUGGAGGAAACAGACUGCACUCAUUGCUGCUGAAAUGUGUGUGGCAGAGUAUCAGAGAGGACGGUAUUGCAGAGAAGGAGCCCCAGAAAUCUUACAAAGGUCUCUGCAGGUCCUUGGCCAAAUCCCAGGCUAUGAAUGUGCAGACUGAGACUCUGCAAGGCCUAGCAGAGAACAGCUGAUGGGAAGCUGAAAGCUAAACAGCUAUUUCAGUGCUCACAGAUGCUGGAGAUACAUCUGAAUUCUGGCUCAGCCAGAGUCUCCACUCUUGGAGUCUCAGGUCUUGAUGAAUAAUCUAGACAUUCACAGGAGGACCUAGAAGGCCAUGCCUUGGGAUUAAAGAAGAUUCUUUAGGAAUAAGGGCAAAAUGAAAAACAGCUCCCCCUAACAAAACCUAAAAUGUAGUCUUGACACACAUGAUCAAUUAACCCAUCAGUAAUUUAAUUCCCUGCCAAAACAAAACUCAACACUAGAUAGCAUAAUCCGCAUCUGUUCAAUCAGUGUUCACAAUGUCCAACAGAUUAAGAAAUAUUUACUAGACAUGUGAAAAAGCAAGAAAAUAUAUCCUAAAAUUAAGAGAAAACCAGUCAAUAUGAACAGACUCAACCAUGCAUGGUGGCUCAUGCCUGUAAUCCCAGCACUUUUGGAGGUCAAGGCAGGUAGAUCACUUGAGCUCAAGACUUGGAGACCAGCCUGGACAACAGGGCAAAACCUCAUCUCUACUAAAAAUUCCAAAAUGAGCUGGGUGUGGUAGUGUGCAGGUGUCCAUAACCCCCAGGCUGGGGACUGGUACCAGUCGGUGACCUGUUAGGAACCAAGCUGCACAACAGGAGCUGAGCGGUGGGUAGGGAGCAUCACUGCCUGAGCUGUACCUCCUGUCAGAUCAGCAGGCAUUAUAUUCUCAUAGGAGCGUGAACCCUACUGUGAACUGCACAUGCGAGGUAUCUACAUUUUGCACUCUUUAUGACAGUCUAAUGCCUGGUGAUCUGAAGUGGAACAGUUUCAUACCGUAACCACUUUCCCCUCACCCCAUCUGUGGAAAAACUGUCUUAUUCAAAACAAGUCAGGACUGCUGGUGGCACGUGCCUGUGGUUCCAGCUACUUGGAAGGCUGAGGUGGAAGGAUGGCUUGAUCCUGGGAGGCAGGGGUUGCAGUGACAUGAGGUCAUGCCACUGCACUCCAACCUGGAAGAUGGAGUGAGACUUUGUCUAAAAAAAAAAGGGCUGGCCACCAAGGCUCACCAGCAUUUUGGGAGACCAAGGUGGGUGGAUCACCUGAGGUUAGGAGUUUAAGACCAGCCCGGCCAACAUGGUGAAACCACUUCUCUACUAAAAAUAUAAAACUUAGCAGUGCGUGGUGACAUGCAACUUUAGUUCCAUCUACUUGGGAGGCUGAAAUAGGAGAAUUGCUUGAACCUGGGAGGCAGAGUUGCAGUGAGCCGAGAUGGUGCCAUUGCACUCCAGCCUGGGCUAAAAGAGUGAAACUCCAUCUCAGAAAACAAAACAAAACAAAACAAAACAAAUCAUAAAUGACUCACACAUUGGAAUUAUCAGGCAAGAACUUUAAAGUAACUAUAUACAUACAUUAAAGAAUUUAGAAAAAUAUCAACAUCUGUGUAGAUGGUGAAAAAAGAAUUUUAGCAUAAGUAUGUUCUAAAUAUGGUAAAUACUAAAAAUUAUUCAUUUGUGAUGAGAAAUCUAAAUUUCACUUGGUGGCCUACAUUAUAUCUGGCAUCUCUACCCCAAAGCCAAGCAGGAGAGAGUCCAGAGUUCUAUCUUCCAGCAGGUGACCUAGCCUAGGACAGGGCCUGGCCAGGGGUAACUGUGCAUGGAAUGAAUUAGAGAUGCCAGUCAUUCAGUGUGUCAAAGCUUUUGCCAGGCUUGCAUACAAUCAAUAUUAUUUUUAUUUAAUUCUAAAGCAAGUUUUACAAUAUCAACCUUUUAUUUGGAAAUAUAGAUUUAGAGGACAUGUCAAAGUUGGUACAAAGAGGGUUCAGGUACUCUUCACUCAGUUUCCUCCAAAGGUUCUAUUCUGUAUUGUGUAAAACAAUAUCAAAGAAUGUCAGGUGUGCAGGUUGAAGCCAUUUUAUCACAUAUGUAGACUUCUGUAACCACCGCUACAAUCAAGACACAGAACUGUUCCACCACCACAAAAAAAUCCCCCUCCUGCUAUUCCUCUGCCGUUUCUACCUCUUCCCCUCCACUAUUCCUACUUCUGGCAACCACUAACCUGCUUUUUGUCUUUAUAAUCUUGUCACUUCAAGAACAUUAUAAAAUGCAAAAAUUAGCCAGGCAUGGUGGCACGAGCUUGUAGUUCCAGCUAUGUGGCAGGCUGAGGCAGGAGAAUCACUUGAACAUGGGAGGUGGAGGCUACAGUGAGCUGAGAUCCUGCCACUGCAGUUCAGCCUGAGAGACAGGGAGAAACUCUGUUUGAAUGAAUGAGUGAAUGAAUGAAGCCUUGGCAUGGUGGCUGGCACCUAUAAUCUUAGGACUUUGGGAGGCCAAGGCGGGUAGAUCAGUUAAGGCCAGGAGUUUGAGACCAGCCUGGCCAACAUGGCAAAACCCUGUCUCUACUAAAAAUACAAAAAUUAGCCAGGUGUGGUGGCACCUGUACUCACAGUUACUUGGGAGGCUGAGGCACAAGAAUCACUUGAACCUGGGAGGCACAAGCUCAGUGAGCUGAGAUCACGCCACUGCACUCCACUCUGGGCCACAGAGUGAGACUUCAUCUCAAAAACAGAACAAAAGCCAACCCAACAACAACAAAAUUAUAUAAAUGGAAUAACACAGUAUGUGGCCUUUUGAGCUUGGCUUUUUUUUUUUAACUCAACAAAUGCCCUUUGAGAUCCAUCCAAGUUUUGCAUGUUUCUUUUCAUUGCUUUUUUUUUGAGACAGUCUUGCUCUGUCACCCAGGCUAGAGUGCAGUGGCACAAUCUCUGCUCACUGCAACCUCUGCCUCCUGGGUUCAAGCGAUUCUCCUGUCUCAGCUUCCCAAGUAGCUGGGAUUACAGGCACCCACCACCACGCCUGGCUAUUUUUUUUUUUGAGUUGGAGUUUUGCUCUUGUUGCCCAGGCUGGAGUGCAGUAGUGUAAUCUCGGCUCACUGCAACCUCCACCUCCCAAAUUCAAGCAAUUCUCCUGCCUCUGAGCAGCCGAGAUUACAGGUUUCCGCCACCAUGCUCAGCUAAUUUUUUUGUAUUUUUAGUAGAGUUUGGGUUUGCCCUUUUGGCCAGGCUGGUCUCAAACUCCUGACCUCAGGCAAUCUGCCUGCCUCAGCCUCCCAAAGUGCUGGGAUUACAGGUAUGAGCCACUGUGUCUGCUCCUUUUUGUUUGUUUCAGUAGAGACAGGGUUUUACCGUGUUGGCCUGUCUGUUCUCGAACUCCUGACCUCAAGUGAUCUGCCCAAAGUGCUGGGAUCACAGCCAUGAGCCACCAUGCCUGGCCCCCUUUAUAUUGCUGAAUAGUACUUCAUAGAACGGUUGUAUCAGUUUGCUUAACCAUUCACCUAUUGAGGGGUAUUUGGUUGUUUCCAGUUUGGGGCUAUUGCAAAUAAUCUGCCAUGAACAAUCCUAUAUGAAUUUCUUACGCAGACAUCAGUUUGUUUUACUUUCUGGUACAAAUGCCCAGAAGCAAUUGCUGGGUCAUAUGUUGAGGUGUAAGUUUAAUUAAAUAAACUGCCAAACUAUUUUCCAGACUGUCUGUACCAUUUCAUAUUCCCACCAGCAAUGUAUGAGAGAUUUAGUUUUGUCUGUACCCUCAGCAAUAUUUGAUAUUAUCAAUAUAUUUUAUUUUAAUGGUUCUAAUACAUAUGUAGUGAUAUCUUACUGUGGUUUUAAUGUGCAUUUCCUAGUGGUUGGUAUUGAAGACCUGUUUGUGUGCUAUAAGUCAACUCUUUUUGAAAACCUAAAUAAAUGUGUUUAUAAAAGUAACUUUUGCUUUGAGAGGUCAAGGUAGGUGGAAUGCUUGAGCCCAACAGUUUGAGGCCAGCCUGAGCAAUAUGGUGAACUCCAUUUCUACAAAAACUACAAAAAUAUCCAGGUGUGUUGGUACGUGCCUGUGGUCCCAGAUGCUCGGGAAGUGAAGCGGGAGGAUUGCUUCAGCCUGGGAGGUUGAGGCUGCAGCGAACCAUGUUUGCACCAUUAUACUCCAGCCUGGGUGACAGAGCAAAACCCUGCCUUAAAUAAAUACAUAAAUGAAUAAAAGGAAAUGUGUGAUUAGUGGUUCUCAAAGUGUGGUCCCCAAGCCAGCAGCAUCAGCAUCACCUGAGAACUUGUUAGAAAGGUAGAUUCUCAGGUGCCACCACAGACCUCCUGAACCAGAACCUCUGGGGAGUGGGUUGAGCGAUCUGUGGUGUAACCAGCCCUACCAGUGAGAAUUGGAAUAAUUUACUACACAUAGAAGGCAAUGGUAAAAAGAAAUGCAUCUGCCUAUCACCUAAAAUCCUCUCGUGGGCCCCAGGUUCGCACACCACACUUUUAGGCAGGAGCCCCAUCACAGAGACUGUGAAAGAAUGCUCCUCCCCCUGGACUUCUGCAGUGCACAGCUCACACAGCUGCAUGUGGCAUCUCUGAGUUUGGGAAGCGCUGAUCUAGUCCUAACUACAGCUCUUCCUGCCCUUCAUUGGACUGAGAAAAAUCAAGGCUCUGAGGAGGGUGAGAUUUGCCCAAGGUCACCCAGCAACAGGAUUAGCCUCCUUCCCCAGGGGCCUCACAAUGCCUGGCCUGUUUAAAGCCUGCCCCUAUUCACUGCCUAGUGAAAAUCCAGCUUGGCAAACUGGGGAAGGAUACUAUCCUGUGUGCCUUAUAUUUAUAGCUGAAUAUACGUGAAAAAAAGUCAGAAAAUACUGUUGAAGCAGUUAUUUGGGGAGCAAAGGGGUUUGCUGAUUUUUGGUGUUUUUAACUCUUCUAUAUUUCAUAAUUUUUAUUGCAAUAAGUACGUUUAGUUACUUAAUGAAAUGUAUUAAAUAUUAUUUUAAAAAUCAAGAUGAAGCCUGAUCCAGCCACAGCCUAUCCUUGGCAGAGUCAGGAAGCCUUCCAGAGAGAGCAGGCCCCCACCUGCCCAGCUCACACCCUGGGCCUGGGAACAUGCUAGGCCCUCUGUCUGGACACCCUCACCCUGCGGUGGCCUCCAUGUCCACACCCAUCAGCACCUCCUGUGGGUGAGGCCCUCCCCUGCAUCCAGCCCUGGGCACCCCCGAGCCCAGAGGGCCCUCAUGGUCUGAAAGUCUACCUGUCUGUCUCUAAAGAGAGGAAAACUCCUUGAGACAUGUGUUCUGCUUGACCCAUCACUCCUGGCCUGGUACAGAAAAGUGGACAGUGAGUAUUUGGUGAAUAAAUGAAUGAAUGAUUAAAACCGAAAUGAAUCCCCAAAUGGCCAUUUCCUGAGGCCCUUCUCCAGCUGGCCUAGGUGGAACCAGUUCCACUUUUCACAGGAAAGCCAGGUGUGAGGAGCGGGGAAGUAUGUGUGAGGGGCAGGUUCUUGAAGGCUGGAUGGACACGGGGCUUGUGGCGGGUCUAGGGGUGGCAGUGCUGCUGUGGGAGUCUUGGGGUGUUCUCAUCCCUGGAAUCCCCCAGUGUAUCCUGGUGCCCCCAGCUGCUGUGUGGUGUGAGAAGGCCUGGCUGGUGGGGACGCACAGGGACUUGUUUGAAUUGCCCACCUGGUCAAGCCCAAGGAGCUGUGCCUCCAGCCCCUCGGGGAAAAACUCACUUUUGAUAUGUGACAACAGCUGCAGGCAAGUGGGGGGAGAGGUGUGCUGGGCCUCGGCCUUAGAAGCCAGAAGCCUCUGGCUUUCUCCCAGGAGGGCAGAAGAUCAGAUAGAGGUGACCCAGGCUCCCCUGUUUACCUCAAACCCCUUGUGAAGCCUCCCUCUUUCUGCCUGUGAGGUGGGUGGGGUUGGAAGGAGAGGAACUUACCUGUGGGCCUCUGGCUUCUCUGCCCAGGUGUGCCUGGAAAGCCUGGUCUAUAUUCCACGCUCUGCUAUACUCCACGUCCUGAUUACAGCCUCCCCACCUCUAGAGCAGCCUGGCCCAGGGAAGACCUGGUUGCUGCAUCAAAUAAUAGGUAGAAAAUAGAAGUAGGGGCCAAGCACAGUGGCUCACGCCUGUAGUCCCAGCACAUUGGGAGGCUGAGGCAGGAAGAUCAACUGAGGUCAGGAGUUCAAGACCAGCCUGGCCAACAUGGUGAAACCCCGUCUCUACUAAAAAUAAAAAAAAUUAGCUGGGUGUGAUGGCACAUGCUUGUAGUCCCAGCUACUCAGAAGGCUGAGGCAGGAGAAUCGCUUGAACCUGGGAGGCGGAGGUUGCAGUGAGCUGAGAUUGUGCCACUCCACUUCAGCCUGGGUGACAGAGUGAGACUCUGUCUCAAAAAAAAAAAAAAAAAAAAAAAAAGGAAUGGAAAGCUCUGGAAAGGAGUCAAGGAGAAGGUGCCUUCCCAAGGAUGUGGAGGGUUUUUCCAGAAUGGAACUUGACUGGUGCUGAGAACAGCCAGGUGAGAACAGUGCAGGAAAACAUCAGGAUGUGGGAAGCAUGGCUCUCUCUUUGGGAGCUGGGGUUACUUGCCUGGGCCAAAUGGCGGUAGGUUGUGGGCAGGGGCAGGCAGAGCUGGGGUGUCCAGAGCCUGAGGUCCCUGUUCUUGCAGCGGACUGGAGUGCAAAACAACUAUCUCUGCCUUUUGGCUGGGGGACACCCUCUACGUCCAAGCCCAGACAUACACCAUCUGCCACAAGCCCCUGAGGCUCUUCAGAGGACCAACGUACAGCCACACCCAUGCUGGGCUAGCCUGCUGGGCCCACCUGCACCCUGGUCAGUGCCUAUGACUGAGGGGACUCUCUGGAGACAAUGGGGACAGUCUCAUGUUCCCCUUUUGCAGGUGGACCAGUCCUUGGGAUCUGAUGUCAGGCUGGGGUGGGCAGAGGCUCUUCUCUGCCAGGGUGCCUGGUGAUCAGCAGGUGGAGCAACUUCUUGACUUUCCUGGACCCCAGGACACAGCUGAACAAAGGAAGUUGAGCCUUAAGCAAGCUGUAAUUGCACCACUGCACUCCAGCCUGGGUAAAAAAGUGAGACUUAAUCUCAAAAAUAAAUCAAAAAAAGAAAGAAGAAGAAACUAGGGCUGGUCACAGUGUCUCAGGCCUGUAACCCAGCACUUGAGAAUGCCGAGGUGGACAGAUCACUUGAGUUCAGGAGUUCAAAAUAAGACUUGGCAACAUGGCAAAACCACAUCUCUGCCAAAAAUACAGGAAAAUUAGACAGGUAUAUUGUGUACACAUGUGGUCCUAGCUAUUCAAGAGGCUGAAGUGAUCCCUAAAGCCUAGAAGUUUAAGGCUGCAGCUAGCCAUGAUCAUACUGCUGCACUCCAGCCUGAGUUAGAGGGCGAGACAUAAUCUCAAAAAAUAAAGAGAAGAAAAGGAAAACAGACUGGGCACAGUGGCUCAUGCCUGUAACCCAGCACUUUGGGAGGCCGAGGUUGGCAGAUCCCUUGAGUUUAGGAGUUUGAGACCAGAUGUGGUGGUGUGCACCCAGGAGUUUGAGACUGCAGCAAGCUGAGACCAUGCCACUGCAGUCCAGCCUGGGUAACAAACCAAGACUUUAUCUCAAAAAAAAAGCAAAAAAGAAAGAAAAGAAAAGAAAGAAAAAAAGUACAAAAAAGGACUGGGCACAGUCACUCACACCUGUAACCCAGCACGUUGGGAGGCCCAGGUGGCCAGAUCACUUUAGUUCAGGAAUUUUAGAUGAGACUUGGCAACAUGGCAAAACCCCAUCUGGCAAUAAUACAAAAAAUUAGCCAGACAUGGUGGUGUGCGCCUGUGGUUCCAGCUAUUCAAGAGGCUAAGGUGGGAGGAUUGCUUGAGCCCAGGAGGUUGAGUCUGCAGUAAGUGUGACCACACCACUGCACUCCAGCCACAGUAACAAAGCAAGACCUAAUCUCAAAGAAAAAGAAAAAAGAAAAGUAAAGAAAAAAUGGCUGGGCACAGUGGCUCAUGCCUGUAUCCCAGCACUUUGGGAGGCCGAGAUGGGCAAAUAACUUGAGUUUAGGAGUUUGAAACAUGACUUGGCAACGUGGCAAAACCACAUCUCUACCAAAAAUAUAAAAAAUUAGACAGGAGUGUUGGUGUUCACCUGUGGUCCUAGCUGUUCAAGAGAAUGAGGUGAGAGGAUCACUAGAGCCUAGGAGGUUAUGGCUGCAGCAAGCUGUGAUCAUACCGUUGCACUUCCUGCCUGAGAAGAAGAGGAGGAGGAGGAGGAGGAGGAGGAAGAAAAGAAGAAGAAGAAGGAAGAGGAGGAGGAAGAAGAAGAAGAAAAAUAAGAGAAAGAAGAAAAACAGGGCUGGGCACAGUGGCUCACAGGCAUUAUGCAGCAAUUUGGCAGGCUGAGGUGGGCAGAUCACUUGAGUUCAGGAGUUUGAGACAAGACUGGGCAACAUGGCAAAACCCCAUCUCUAUCAAAAAUAUAAAAAAUUAGCCAGGCGUGGUGUUGUGCACCUGUGUUCCCAGCUAUUCAAGAGGCUGAGGUGAAAGGAUUGAUUGAGCCCCGGAGGUUGAGUCUAUAGCAAGCCGUGACCACACUGCUGCACUACAGCCUGGGUAACAGAACAAGACCUAAUCUCAAGGGAAAAAAAAAAGGAAACAGAAUAAAAAAGUGCCAGGCACAGUGGCUGAUGACUAUAAUUCAGAAACUUGGGAGUCUGAGGUCGGCAGAUCGCUUGUGUUCUGAAGUUGGAGACAAGACUGGGCAGCAUGGCAACAUGCCAUCACUACCAAAAAUACAAAAAAUUAGCCAGGCAUGGUGGUAUGCACCUGUGGUCUCAGCUAUUUAAGAAGCUGAGGUGGGAGGAUCUCUUGAUCCCAGGAGUUUGCGGCUGCAGUAGUGUGAUCAUGGCUUACUGCAGCCUCAACCUCCUGGGCUCAAGCAAUCCUAUCUUAGCCUCUUGAAUAACUGAUACCAAAGGUGCACACCACCACAUCUGGCUAAUUUUUGAUUGGGUUUUGCCAUGUUAUCCAGUCUGAUCUCAAACUCCUGAAAUCUAGUGACAUACCCACCUAUGCCUCCCAAAUGCUAGGUUACAGGUGUGAGCCACUGUGACUGGCCCUUUCUUCUUCUUUUUUUUUUUUUGUUUUUGUUCGUUCGUUUGUGUGACUUGAGAGUAGGUCUUGCUCUGUUGCCCUGUCUGUAGUGCAGUGGCAUGAUUAUGGCUUCCUGCAGCCUAAACCUUCUGGGCUCAAGCAAUCCUCCCACUACAGCCUCCUGAAUAGCUGGAAUCACAGGUGAACACCACAAUGCCUGGCUAAUUUUUGAUAUGUUUUGUAGACAUGGGGUUUUGCAAUGUUGCCCACUCUGGUCUCAAGCUACUGAACUUAAGAGAUCUGUCCACCUCAACUUCCCAAAGUGUUGGGUUACAGAGGUGAGCCACUGUGCCCUGUUUUGUUUUUUGUAUUUGUUUUUGUUUUUUGGAUUAGGUCUUGCUCUGUUCCCAAGACUGGAGUGCAGUGACAUUGUCAUGGCUUGCUGCAGUGUCAGCAUUCUGGGCUCAAGCAAUCCUCCCACCAUAGCCUCUUGAAUAGCUGGGAUAGCAGGUUCACAACAGCAUGCCACCCUAAUUUUCUGUGUUUUUGGUAGAGAUAGGAUUUUGACAUGUUGCCCAGUCUGUUCUCGAAUUCCUGAACUCAAGUGAUCUGGCCACCUCAGCCUUUGUAAUUGCUGGGUUACAUGUGUGAUUCACUGUGUUUAUUUUCUUUUUCUUUCUUUUCUUUUUGUCUUUGUCUUUUUUUUUCUUUUUUGGAAAUUAACUCUUGCUCUUUUAUGCAGGCUAGAGUGCAGUGGCAUGAUCCAGAUUGCUGCAGCAUCACCCUCCUGUGCUCAAGCGAUUUUCCCACCUCAGCCUCUUGAAUAGCUACAGGUGCACACCACCAUGCCUGGCUAAUUUUUUGUAUUUUUGGUAGUGAUGGGGUGUUGCCAUUUUGCUCAGUUUGAUCUUGAACUUCUGAACUCAAGUGAUCUGCCCACCUCAGCCUUCCAAAAUGCUGGGUUACAGGCAUAAGCCACUGUUCCCAUCACUUUUUCUUUUUUCUCUUUCCUUUCUUUUCUUUUCCUCUUUCUUUCUUUUUCCUUUCCUUUACUUUUUUUUUCUUUCUUCUUUCUGGUUUCACUCUGUUACCCAGACUGGAGUGCAGUGUCGUGGUAAUGGCUUGCUGCAGCCGCAACCUCCUGGGCUCAAUGGAUCCUCCUACCUCAGCCUCUUGUGCACACAACCAUGCCUCGAAAAUUUUUUGUAUUUUUGGUAGAGAUAGGAUUUUGCCAUGUUUUCAGUCCUGUCUUGAACUCCUGAACUCAAGUGAUCUGUCCACCUGUCUGCCAAAUUACUAGGUAACAGGCAUGAGCCACUCUGCCCAGCCCUUUCUUCCUCCUCCUCCUCCUCCUCCUCCUCUUCUUUUUCUUCUUUUUCUUCUUCUUUGUUCUUUUUCUUUUCAUUUUUUUUUUCCAGAUUAGAUCUUACUCUGUUACCCAGGCUAUGCAGUGGCAUGAUCAACCUUUUGGCAGCCUGGGCUUAAGCAAUCUUCCCACCUCAGCCUCUCAAUAGCUGUGACCACAGGUGCAUGGCGCCACAUCUGGCUAAUGUUUUGUAAUUUUUGUAGACAUGGUGGUUGUCAUGUUGCUUAGUCAUCUUAUCUCAAGCUUCUGAACUCAAGUGAUCAGCCCACUUUGGCCUCUGAUAGUGCUGGAUUACAGGCUUGAACCACUAUGCCAAACACUUUUUUCUUUUUCUUUUUUGAAAAUAGGUCUCGCAGUGGUGUGGUCCUGGCUUGCUGCAGCCUCAACCUCCUGGGCUCAGCGAUCCUCUCAUCACAGCCUAUUGAACAGCUGGGGCCACAGGGGCACAGUACCAUGCCUGGCUAAUUCUUUGUAUUUUUGGUAGAGGUGGGGCUUUGCCAUGUUGCCCAGUCUAGUCUUGAACUCCUGAACUCAGCUGAUCUGCAUACCUGCAUAUUUUGGUCUCCCAAAUUGUUGAAUUACAGGUGUGUGCAACUGUGCCCAGCAUUUUUUAAAAAUCAUUUUUAUUUUAUUUUAUUUUGAGAUUAGGUCUUGUUCUGUUACUUAGGCUGGAGUGCAGCAGCAUGAUCAUGGCUUGCUGACGCCUUAACAUCCUAAGCUCUAGUGAUCCACCAGCUCAUCCUCUUGAAUAGCUAGGACCACAGGUAUACACAGCCCCCCCGGGUAAUUUUUUGUGUCGUAGAGAUGGGGUUUUGCUAUGGUGCCAAGUCUUGUCUUGAACUCCUGAACUCAAGUGAUUUGCCCUCUGUGGCCUCCCAAACUGCUGGAUUACAGGCGUGAGCCCCUGCGCCCAGCCCUUUUGUCGUCAUCAUUGUCGUCUUCUUCUUCUUUCUCCUCGUCCUCCCCUUCUUCUUUUUCUUCUUCUCCUUCUCCUUCUUCUUUUAGUUUUCUUUUGAGAUUAGGUUUCACUUUGUUGUCCAGGCUGGAGUGCAGUGCCAUGAUCGCGGCUUGCUGCAGCCUUAACUUCCUGAUCUUCCCACCUCAGCCUCUUGAAUAGCAAAGACCACAAAUGGACACCAACAUGCCUGGCUAAUUUUUUAUGUUUGGUAGAGAUUUAGUUUUGCCGUGUUGCCAAGUCUUGUCUCGAACUCAUGAACUCAAGUGAUCUGUUCUCUUCGGCCUUUCAAAGUGCUGGAUUACAGGCCUGAGUUACUGUGACAAACCCAUUUUUCUGUUUUUAUCUUUGGUUUGUUUGUUUGUUUGUUUGGCAUUAGGUCUUCAUCUGUUACUCAGGCUGGAGUGCAGGAGUGUGGUCGCUGUUUUCUACAGCAUCAAGCUCCUGGGCUCGUGCUAUCUUUCCACCAUGCCAGACUACUUUUUUUUAUUUUUGGUAGAGAUGGAGUUUUCCAUGUUGCCCAGUCUGGUCUCAAACUCCUGAACUCAAGUGAUCUGCCCACCUCGGCCUCCCAAAGGGCUGGGUUACAGGAAUGAGCCGCUGUGCCUAGCCCUUUGUUUGUUUUGAGAUUAGGUGUUGCUCUGUUACCCAGGCUGGAGUGCAGUGGCAUGAUCAUGGCUUGUUGCAGUGUAAAUCUCUUGGGCUCAAGGGAUCCUCCCAUGUAAACCUUUUGAAUGGCUGGAACCACAGGUGCACACCACCACACCUGGCUAAUUUUUUGUAUUUUUAGGAGAGAUGGGGUUUUGCCAUGUUUCCCAGUCUUGUCUCAAACUCCUGAACUCAAGUGAUCUGCACACCUCGGCUGUCCAAAAUGCUGGGAUACAGGCGACAGCCACUGUACCUGGCCUUUUUUUUUUUCCUUUUAUUUUCUUUCUUUCUUUUAGUAUUUUUUUUUUUAUUAGAUCUUGCUCUUACCCAUGCUGGAGGGCAGUGGCUUGAUCACGAAUUGCUGCAGCCUCACGUUCUGGGCUCAGUUGAUCCUCCCACCUCAGCCUCUUGAAUAGCUGGAACAGCAGGUUCACAACAUUAUGCCAAGGUAAUUUUUUGUGUUUUUGGCAUAGAUGGGGUUUUGCCAUGUUGCGCAGUCUGGUCUCCAAUUACUGAACUCAAGUGAUCUACCCACCUUGGCCUCCCAAAGUGUUGGGUUAUGGGCAUGAGCCACUGCUCCCUGCUGUUUUUUCUUCUUAUUCCUUUCCUUUUCUUUCUUUCUUUUUUUUUUUUUGGUGAUUAGAUCUUGCUCUGUUACCCAGGUUGGAGUGCAGUGACUUGAUCAUAGCUUGCUGCAGCCUCAACCUCCUGGACUCAAGUGAUCCUCCCACCUCAACCUCUUCAAUAGCUGAAAUCACAGGUGCACACCACUGUGCCUGGCUAACUUUUUGUAUUUUUGGUACAGAUCAGGUUUUGCCAUGUUGCUCAGUCUGGUCUUGAACUCCUGAACUCGAGUGAUAUGCCCACCUCGACUUCCAAAGUGCUGGGUUACAGGCAUGAGCUACUGUACCCAACCUUCUUUUUUUUUUUUUUUCUUGUUAGGUCUCACUCUGUUACAAGGCUGGAGUGGAGUGGCAUGAUCAUGGCUUGAUGCAGUCCAAGCCUCCUGGACUCAUGGGAUCCUCCCACUCAGCCUCUUGAAUAGUUGGGACCACAGGUGCACACCACCAGACCUGGCUAAUUUUUUGUAUGUUUGGUAAAGAUGGGGUUUUGCCAUGUUGCCUUUUCUGGUCUCGAACUCCUGAACUCAACUGAUCUGCCCAUCUGAAAUUCUAAAGUGCUUGAUUACAGGUGUGAGCCACUGUUUCCAAACUUUUUUCUUUUCUUUCCUUUUUCAUUUUUAUUUAUUUGUUUAUUUUUAGAUUAGGUCUCUCUCUCUCUGUUAGCCAGGCUGGAGUGUAGUGGCAUGAUCACAGCUUGCUGCAGCCCAAACUCCUGGGCUCAAGCAAUCCUCCCACUACAGCCUCUUGAAUGGCUGGGACCACAGGUGCACACCACCAUCCCUGGCUUAUUUUUUGCACUUUUGGUAGAGAUGGGGUUUAGCUAUGUUGCACAGUCUGGCCCUGUACUCCUGAACUCAAGUGAUCUGCCAACCUCGGCCUCCCAAAGUGCUGGGUUACAAGAGUGAGUGACUGUGCCUAGCUUUUUUUUCCUUUUUGAAAUUACAUCUUGCUCUGUUAUGCAAGCUGGAGUGCAGUGGUAUGAUCAUGGCUUGCUGCAGGCUCAACCUCCUGGGAUCAAGAGAUCUUCUUACCUCAGCCUUUUGAAUCGGUGGGACAACCAGUGCACACCACCAUGCCUGGCUUCCAAAAGUGCUAAGUUACAGGGAUGAGCCACUCUGGCCAGUCCUUUGUUGUUCAUUUUUCUUUUCUUUUCUUUUCUUUUUUUUUUUGAGUGAGAUAACUUACUAAGUCUCAAUCUGUUAUCUACGCUGGAGUGCAGUGGCAUGAUCACGAGUUGCUGCAUCCUCAACUUCCUGGGCUCAAGUGAUCCUCCACCUCAGCCUCUUGAAUAGUUGAAACCAGAGGUGCACACAACCAUGCCUCACUAAUUUUUUGUAUUUUGGGUAAAGAUGGGGUUUUGCCAUGUUGCUCAGUCUGGUCUCAAACUGCUGAACUCAAGUGAUCUGCUGACUUUGGCCUUUCAAAGUGCUGGGUUAUGGGCAUGAGCCACUGUGAACAGCUCUUUUUUCUUCUUUUUUACAUUAUUUUUAUUUUUUUGCUGCAGCAAGCCAUGAUCACACCACUGCCCUCCAGCCUGUAUAAAAAAGUGAGAUGUAAAACCCCAUCUCUAACAAAAAAACAAAAGAUUAGCAAUGCAUGGUGAUGUGCACUUGUCACAUCUAUUCAAGAGGCUGAAGUGGGAGGAUUGCUUGAGCCCAAGAGAUUGAGUCUACAGCAAGCCAUGAUCACGCCACUGCACUCCAGCCUGGGUAACAGACUGAGACCUAAUCCCAAAAAAGAAAGAAAGAAAGAAAGGAAGGAAAGAAAGAAAAAGAGAAAGAGAAAAAGAAAGAAAGAGAAGGAAAAGAAGAAGAAGAAGAAAAAAGGAAAGGAAAGGAAAGGAAAGGAAAUAGGGCUGAGUAUCAUGGCUCAUGCCUGCAAACCAGCCCAUCAUUGGGAGUUCAAAGUGGACAGAUCACUUGAGUUCAGGAGUUCAAGACCAGACUAGGUAAGAUGGCAAAACCCCAUAUUUAUGAUAAAUACAAAAAAAUUAGCCAGCCAUGGUGAUGUGCACCUGUGGUUUAAGCUAUUCAAGAGGCUGAGGUGGCAGGAUCACUUAAGCCCAGGAGGUUGACACUGCACCAAGCUGUGAUCACGACGCUGCACUCUAGCCUGGGUAAAAGAGCAAAAACGAAUCUUAAAGAAAACAUAAAACAGAAAAAGAAGGAGAAAUAGGUGGGCACAGUGGCUUACCCCUGUAACUUAGCACUUUGAAAGGCCCAGGUGGACAGAUCACUUGAGUUCAGCAGUUUUGAGACCAGACUGAUCAACAUGACGAAACUUUUCUCUAACAAAAAUACAAAAAAUUAGCCAGGUGUGGUGGUGUGAACGUGUUGUCCCAGCUAUUUAAGAAGCUGUGUAUUUUUGGUAGAGAUGGGGUUUUAUUUAAGAAGCUGAGAUGGGAGGAUCGCUUGAGUACAGGAGGUUGACACUGCAGCAAGCCGUGACCACAACACUGCACUCCAGCCUGGAUAACAGAGCUAGACCUAAUCUCAAAAAAACAAAAAACAAAACAAACAAGCAAAAAACAGCUGGGCACAGUGGCUCAUGCCUAUAAACACAGCACUUUGGGAGGCCAAGGUGGGCAGAUAACUUGACGUCAGGAGUUUGGGACCAGACUUGGCAACAUGGCAAAAUCCAACUCUACCGAGAAUAGAAAAAGCCAGGUGUGGGGUUAUCCCCCUGUGGUUCCAGCUAUUGAAGAGGAUGUGGUGGGAGGAUCGUUUAUGCCCAGGAGGUUAAGGCUGCAGCAAACCAUGAUCAAGCCACUGCACUCUAGCCUGGGUAAUAGAGGGAGACUUAAUCUCAAAAAAAAAUUUAAAAGAAGAAAAAAAGGGCUAGGCACAGUGGUUCAUGCCUGCAAACCCAGCACUGUGGGAGGUCAAGGUGGGCAGACCACUUGAGUUCAGGAGUUCAAGGCCAAACUGGGCAACAUGUCAAAACCCCAUCUCUACCAAAAAUACACAAAAUUAGCUCGGCAUGGUGGUGUGCACCUGUGGUCCCAGCUAUUCAAGAGGCUGAGGAGGGAGGAUUGCUUGAGCCCAGAAAUUUGGGGCUGCAGCAAGCUGUAAUCACGCCACUGCACUCCAGCCUGGGUCAGAGAUCAAGAGCUAAUGUCAAAGAGAGAGAAAAAAAGAAAAAAGGAAAAAAGAAAAUAAAAAAAGAACGGCCAUAGUGUCUCACACCCAUAACCCAGCACAUUGUGAGGCUAAGAUGGGUAGAUCGCUUGAGUUCAGGAAUUUGAUAUUGGACUGGGCAACAUGGCAAAACCCAUCUCUACAAAAAAUUAGCCAGGUGUUUUGGUUUGCAACUGUGGUCUCAGCAAUUCAAGAGACUGAGUGGGAGGAUCACGUGAGCCCAGGAGGUUGAGGCUGCAUCAAUCUGUGAUUGCACCACUGCACUCCAGCCUCGGUAACAGAGAGAGACCUAAUCUCAAACAAAACAAAACAAAAAAGAAACAAAAAGAAAAAUGGGCUGGGAACAGUGACUCACACCUGUAACCAAGCACUUUGGGAAAAUGAGGUGGGCAGAUCACUUGAGUUCAGGAGACAAGACUGGGAAACAUGGCAAAACACCAUCACUACAAAAAAACUAGCCAGGCCUGGUAGUGUCCACCUGUAAUCCCAGCUAUUCAAGAGGUUGAGAUGAGAGGAUCACUUCAGAAUAGAAGAUUGAGGUUUUAGCAAGCUGUGACCAAGCCACCAAGCCACUGCACUCCAGCCUGGGUAACAGAACGAGACCUAAUCUCAAUUUAAAAAACCCGAAAAUUAAAAAAAAAAUGAACAAAGGGCUGGGCACAGUAGCUCAUGCCUAUAACCCAGAACUUUGGGAGGCCAAGGUGGGCAGAUCACUUGAGUUCAGGAGUUGGAGACCAGACUGGGUAACAUCGCAAAACCCCAUCUCUACCAAAAAUAUAGAUAAUUUGCCAGGUGUGGUGGUGUGCACCUGUGGUCCCAGCUAUUCAAGAGGCUGAGGUGGGAGGAUCGCUUGAGCCCAAAAUGUUGAGACUGCAGCAAGCUGUGAUCAUGCCAUUGCACUCAAGCCUGGGUAACAGAGAAAGACUUAAUCUAAAAAGAAAGAAAGGAAAAAGAAAACAAAAACAAGAAAAAAGGGCUAGAAACACUGGAUCACGCAUGUAACCCAGCACUCGGAGAGGCCAAGAUGGGCAGACCACUUGUGUUCUGGAGUUUGAGAUAAUCUGGCAAAACCCCAUUUCUACCAAAAAUACAAAACAAAUUAGCCAGGCCUGAUAGGGUGUACCUGUGAUCCAAGCUGUUCAAGAGGUUGUGGUUAGAGAAUCACUUAAGCCCAGGAGGUUGAGGCUGCACCAAGCCAUGACUACAGGCUGCUGCAUUCCAGCCUGAGUAACAGAACGAGACCUAUUCUCAAAAAAAAAAAAAAAAAAAAAGUUCUGGAUACUGUUGCACAUGAUAUUAACUAAGCAAUUUGGGAGGCCGGGGUGGGCAGAUCACUUGAGGUCAGGAGUUUGAGACUAGACUGGGCAACAUGGUAAAACCCCACCUCUACCAAGAAUACAAAUAAUUAGCCAGGCAUGGUGGUGUGCCCCUGUGGUCCCAGCUAAUCAAGAGGCUGAGGUGGGAGGAUCACUUGAGCCUAGGAGGUUGAGGCUGCAACUAGCUGUGAACACGCCACUGUACUCCAGCCUGGGUAACAGAGCAAGACCUAAUCUCAAAAAAAAAAAAAAGAGAAAAGAAAAGGAAAAAAAACCCUGCUGGGUACCAUGGCUCAUGGCUAUAAUCCAGCACUUUGGAAGGCUAAAAUGAACAGAUCACUUGAGUUUAGGAGUUCAAUAGAAGACUGGGCCACAUGGCAAAGCCCCAUGUUUACCAUAAAUACAAAAUAUUAGCGAGGCUUGGUGGUGUGCUCCUGUGGACCCAGCUAUUCAGGAGGCUAAGUUGGGAGGAUCGCUUGAGCCCAGGAGGUUGAGGUUGCAGUAAGCCAUAACCAUGCCUCUGCACUCCAGCUUUGGUAACAGUGUGAGAUUUAAUUUAAAAAAGGAAAAGAAAGAAAAAAUGAAAAAAGUGAUGGGCACAGUGGCUCCAGCAUAAAACCCAGCACUUAAGGAAGCCAAGGUGGGCAGAUCACUUGAGUUCAGGAGUUUGAGACCAGACUGGGCAACAUGGCAAAACUCCAUCACUACCAAAACCACAAAAAAUUAGCCAGACAUGGUGAUGUGCACUUGUGGUCCCAGCUAUUCAAGAGGCUGAGGUCAGAGGAUCGAUUAAGCCCAGGAGGUUGAGGCUGCAGCAAGCUGUGACGAAGCCACUGCACUGCAGCCUUGGUAACAGAGCAAGAAAUAAUGUCAAAAAAUAAAAAAGAAACAAAAAAAAAGGGCUGGACAGAAUGGCUCACAUCUGGAAUCCAUUAUGUUGGGAGAUUGAGGUGAGCAGAUCACUUGAGUUCAGGAGUUUGAGACCAGACUCGGGCAACAUAGCCAAACUCAAUUUGUACCAAAAAUACGUAAAAUUAUCCAGGUGUAAUGGUAUAUACCUGUGGUUUCAGCUAUUCAAAAGGCUGAAUUGGAAGGAUCGCUUGAGACCAGGAGAUUGAGGCUGCAGUAAGCUGUGAACACGCCACUGCACUCUGCACACCAGCCUGGGUAACAGAGCAAAACCUAAUCUCACAAGAAAAAAAAAGAGAGAAAAAAAGGGCUGGGCUCACCCCUUGUAAUCCAUCCCUUUGAAAGGCUGAGGUGGGCAGAUCACUUGAUUUCAAUAGUUCAAGACGAGACUGGGAAACAUGGAAAAACUACGUCUCUAAGAAAAAUAUAAAAAAAUUAGCCAGGAGUGAUGGUGUGCACCUGUAGUCCUAGCUACUCAAGAGGCUGAGGUAGGAGGAUCCCUUUAGCUUAAAAGUGUGAGGCUGCAGCAAGUCAUGACCAUGCCAGUGCACUCCAGCCUGGGUAACAGAACGAGACCUAAUGUCAAAACAAAAACAAAAACAAAAAACAAAACAAAAAAAUAGAAAACAGAAAAAAAAAGAAGCUGAGCACAGUAGCUCACACCUGAAACACAGCAGUUUGGGAGGCCGAGGUGGGCAGAUCACUUGAGAUUGGGAGUUUAAGACAAGACUGGGCAACAUGGCAAAACCCAUUACUACCAGAUAUACAAAAAACUCGCCAGGUGUGGUGGUGUGCACCUGUGAAACAAGCUAUUCAGGAGGCUAAGGUGAGAGGAUCACUUGAGCCCAUAAGGUUUAGAUUGUAGUAAGUCAUGAUCAUGCCACUGCACUCCAGCCAGGGCAAUAGAGCAAGACCUAAUCUCAAAUAAAAUGAACGAACAAACAAACAAACAACAAUAACAACAAACAGGAAAAAAAAGGGUUGGGCACAGUGACGAAUGCCUGUAACCCAGCACUUUAGGAGGCAAAGGAGGGUAGAUCACUUGAGUUCGUGAAUUCGACACCAGACUGGGCAACAUGGGACAACCCAAUCUCUACCAAAAAUACAAAAAAUCAUCCAAGUGUGGUGGUUUGCACAUGUGGUCCCAGCUAUUCAAGAGGCUGCAGUAGGAGGAUUGCUUGAGCCCUUGAGGUGGAGGCUGCAGCAAGCCAUGAUCAUGCCACUGCACUCCAACCUGGGUAAUAGAGUGAGAACGAAUGUUAAAAAAAGGAAAAAGAAAGAAAAAGAAAAAAGGGCUGGGUACAGUGGUUCAUGCAUGUAACCCAGCACUAUGAAAGGCCAAGGUGGGCAGAUCACUUGAAUUCAGGAGUUUGACACCAGAAUGGGCAACAUGGCAAAAUCCCAUUACUACCAAAAAUUAAAAAAAUAGUAAGGCAUGGUGAUGUGCACCUGUGGUUUUAGCUAUUCAAGAGGCUGAGGUGGGAGGAUCACCCUAGCCCUAGAGGUUGAGGCUACAGCAAGCCGUGAUCAUGCCACUGCACUCCAACCUGGAUAAUAGCAGGAGAACUAAUCUCAAAAAAAAAAAGAAAAGAAAAAGGGAAAAUAGAAGAAAAAAGGGCUUGGCACAGUGGCUAACACCAGUAACCAGGCACCUUGGAAGGCCGAGGUGGGCAGAUUGCUGGAAUUCAGUGGGUUCAAGACCAGAUUUUGCAAUAUGGCAAGAGCCCAUCUCUACCAAAAAUACAAAUUUUUUUCCCAGGCAUCGUGAUGUGCACCAGUGGUCUCAACUAUUCAAGAGGCUGAGGUGGGAGGAUCACUUGAGCCCAGGAGGUUCAGCCCACAGCAAGCCAUGACCACACAACUGCAGUCCAGCUUGGGUGACAGAGAAAAACCUAAUGUCUGCCCCCCCCAAAAAAAAAGAAAGAAAAGAAAAAAAAAAAAAGCUGGGCACAGUGACUCAUGCCUGUAACCCAGCACUUUGAGAGGCGAGGGUGGACAGAUCACUUCAGUUCAGGAGUUUGAGACAAGACUUGGUAACAUAGCAAAACCACAUCUCUACCAAAAUACAAAAAAUUGACCAGGCAUGUUUGUGUACACCUGUGUCCCAGCUAUUCAACAGGCUAAGGUGGGAGAAUGGCUAGAUCCCAGGAGGUUAUGGCUACAGCCAGCUAUGAUCAUGCUGCUGCAUGCCACCCUGCAUAACAGAGCAAGACCUAAAUGGAAUAAAACGUAGAAUAAAGGGCUGGGCCCAGUGGCUCAUGCCUGUAACUCAGCUCUCUGGUAGGCCAAAGUGGGCAGAUCACUUGUGUCAGGGGUUGGAGACCAGACUGGGCAACAUGGCAAAAGCCCAUCUAUAGGAAAAACACAAAAUAUUAGCCAGCCUUACUAGUGUGCACCUGUGGCCUCAGCUACUCAAGAAGCUUGGAUGGGAGGAUCACUCUAGUGCAGGAGGUUGAAGCUGCAGCAAGUGGUGUUCACGUGGCUGCACUCUAGCUUGGGUAAGAGAGCAAAACCUAAUUUCAAAAAAAAAAAAAAAACAAAAAAAAAGGCCUGGGCACAGUGUCUCACUCCUGUAACCCAGUACUUUGGAAGGCCAAAGUUGGGAAGAUCACUUGAGACUUGAGUUUAGGAGUUCGAGACCAGACGUUGCAACAUGGCAAAACCCAACCUCUACCAAAAUACAAAAAAUUAGCCAGGCAUAGUGGUGUGCACCUGUGGUUUGAACUAUUCAAGAGGCUGAAGUGGAAGGGUCACUUUAGCCCAAAAGGUUGAAGCUUCAGCAAUCUGUGACCAUGCCACCCAACUCCAGCCUGAAAAACAGAGUGAGACGUAAUAUCAAAAUAAAAAAGAAAAAGAAAAACAGCAGUGCACAGUCACUUGUGCCUGUAACUCAGCACUUUGGGAGGCCAAGGUGCACAGAUCACUUGAGUUCAGAAUUUCAAGGUCAAACUGUGCAUUAUGACAAAACCCCAUUUCUACCAUAAAUAAAAAAAAUUAAUCAGGCAUGAUAGUGUGCACCUGUGGUCCCAGCUAUUCAAGAGGAUGUGGGAGAAUCAGUUGAGUCCAGGAGUUUUAGGAGGCAGCAAGCCAUGAUCAUGCUGCUGCACUCCAGCCUGCGUAACAGAGCAAGACCUAAUCAUAGCAACAACAACAACAACAAAAAUGUGGCUGGGCACAGUGGCUCAUGCCUUUAACCCAGCAUUUUGGGAGGUCAAGGUGGGCAAAUCACUUGAGUUCAAGAGUUGGAGACCAGAGUGGGCAACAUGGCAUAACCCCAUCUCUAUGAAAAAUACAAAAUAGAAGCCAGGCUUAGUGGUCUGUACCUGUGGCCUCAGCUAUUCAAGAAGCUUAGGUGGGAUGAUCACUUGAGCCAGGAGGUGAAGCUUCAGUAAGCUGUGAACAUGACGCUGCACUCCAGCAUGGGUUAAAGAACAAGACCUAAUCUAAAAAAGAAAGAAAGAAGAAAGAAAAUAAGAAGAGCUGGGCACAGUGGCUUGCGCCUAUAACCAAACCCUUUGGGAGGACAAGAUGGGAUAAUCACUUGAGUUCAGGAGUUCGAGACUUGCCUGUACAACAUGGCCAAACCUCAUCUCUACCAAAAAGACAAAGUAUUAGCCAGGUGUGGUAGUGUGCACCUGUGGUUUCAGCUAUUCAAGAGGCUGAGGUGGGAGGAUCACUUUAGCCUGAAAGGCUGAGACUGCAGCAACUCAUGACCACGCCAUCACACUCCAGCCUGGGAAAGAGCGCAAGACCUAAUCUGACUCCUGCCUGAACUCAGCCCAUUGAGAGGCUGAGGUGGGCAGAUCACUUGAGUUCAGGAGUUUGAGACGAUACUGGGCAACCUGAAAAACUCAAUCUCUACCAAAAAUAUAAAAAGUUAGCCCGGCGUGGUGGUGUGCACCUGUUGUCCCAGAUAUUCAAGAGGCUGAGGUGGGAGGAUCACAUGAGUCCAGGAGGUUGAUGCUGCAGAAAGCCAUUACCACACCACUGCACUCCAGCCUGGGUAACAGAUGGAGAUCUAAUCUCAAAAAAAACCCCAAAAUAAAUAAAUACAUAAAAAUAAAAAAAGGGCUUUUCACAGUAACUCACACCUGUAAUCCAGCACUUUGGGAGGCCAAGGAGAGCAGAUCACUUGAGCUCAUAAGUUUGAGACAAGACAGGGCAACAUGGCAAAACUACAUCUCUAUGAAAAAAAACAAAAUGAGCCAGACAUGUUGUUUUACAUUUUAGUUCUUACUAUUCAAGAGGCUGAGGUGGGAGGAUCAGGAGAUUAAGGCUAAAGCAAGCCGUGACCACACCACUGCACUCCAGCCUGGGUAACAGAGCGAAACCUAAUCACAAAACAAAACAAACAAACAAAAAAGAAGACAUAAGUGCUGGACACAGUGGCUUACACCUGUAAUCCAGCACUUUGGGAGGCCAAAUCACUUGAUUUCAGGAGUUUGAGACAAGACUUGGUCAUAUGGCAGAACCUUGUCUCUAUGAAAAAUACAAAAAGUUAGCCAGGUGUGUUUGUGUACACCUGUGGUCCUAGCUAUUCAAGAGGCUGAGCUGAGAGGACCACUAGAGCCUAGGAGGUCAAAGCUGCAGUAAGCUAUGAUCACGCCACUGUACUCCUGCCUGCAUAACAAAACAAGACCUAAUUUUUAAAAAAAGGUAGAAAAAAGGCUGGGCACAGUGGCUCAUGCCUGUAACCCAGCGCUUUCAGAGCUUGGGGUGGGCAGAUGACUUGAGUUCAGAUUUUGGAGACAAGAUUGGGCAACAUGGCAAAACCCCAUCUCUACAAAAAAAAAAAAUAUUAGCCAAGUUUAGGGGGGUGUGCACCUGUGGCCCCAGCCAUUCAAGAAGCUUUGAUAAGAGAAAUGCUUGAGCCUACGAAUUUGUGGUUACAGCAAGCUGUAAUUACUCUGCUGCACUCCAGCCUGUGUAAAACAGAGAGAUUUAAUGUAAAAAAAAAAAAAAGAAAGAAAAAAAAAAAGGAAAAAAAGGCUAGGCACAGUGGCUCACAUCUGGAUCCCAGCAUUUUAGGAGGC